rnacentral:rRNA from 1 species
UUAACGGCCGCAGAAACCUAACUGUGCUAAGGUAGCCUAAUUCCUUGCCUUAUAAUUGAAGGCCAGUGAACGGUUAUACGAGAAUUAAACUGUCUCUAAUAGUUAAACUAAAAAUUACUCUUUAAGUGAAAAAACUUAACUAAUACUGAAAGACGAGAAGACCCUGUAGAGUUUAACUCCACAAUUAUAUCUACAAUUAAAUAAAAUAAUCCAACAGUUUAAUUGGGGCAAUCAGGGAACAAAUUAAACUUCCCCUAUUUGCAUUACCUACUAGUCACCGACCUCCACGAAUAAUUUAAGAAAAAACUACCUCAGGGAUAACAGCAUAAUAUUAUUGAAAAGUACAUAUUAAUAAUAAUGAUUAUGACCUCGAUGUUGGAUUAGGGUAACUCUAAGAUGCAGAAGUCUUCUACAGUAGGCCUGUUCGGCCUCCAACCCCCUAC